GCAAAGGCAUUUUUGAAUGCCAUCAUUAUAAACUUGAAUGAAUAGU
rfam:Pongo abelii chromosome 2b.